ACUAGUUGAAUGUUCCUAGAAGGUCCUAUACCAGUCAAGCGCCGUCCUUUUGCCUCUUAAUGCGCAUGCUUCAGCCCACGCACCCAAAUCCUGAGCUCUUAUCCGAAAGCUGCUGAUCACCAGCUUCAGGUGUUUUCUGUCUGUUGGGAGCCUGCCUUUCCCUGGCACCGGCUGUCACCAAUUAUUUUAGAGAGACAGUGUAACAACCACCUGACCAUCUCACCUGAUGGUUGCUGGGGGGCGUUCUUCUGCCCUGCUUAUGUGUGCCUGACUACCUACUGUAACAAGAGGAGCCCUGCCCUGAAGACAGCGCAAUACAGGGAAGAAGGGAUCGCUUCAGACCAGGAGGGCCUCACUGCAAGACUCCUGACAAGGCAGGUAGAACCGUGGGGUGUGCAGAAUUCAAAGCCACUUUUGCCAACAGAACAGAGGAAAGCAGGAGGCAACUAGAAUUUCCAAAAGAAGUGUCACAAGAGGUCACAGCACACUGAGGUUACAGCAGUGGAAGUUGGAGCGCUAUGGAAAGCAAUUAGCAAUAUCUGUUAAAAGUCAUUAAAGCAUCCAAAUCCCUUCAUCAAGUAACUCUACUCUCAGACGUCUAUCCCAACAUUAUAAAGAGAUGGUCAAAAAUCUGAUCUGAUUUAUCUUCCUAUGUAUCUGAUGAAUGGUUUAUCCAGGGACUGGCAAAAGGAGAAAAACAAGAUGCAGAGGAAUGAGACUGAGAGUACCACAGUGUGAACAGUUUCCCCAAAGUGCUUCAUUUUGGCUCCAG
rnacentral:lncRNA from 1 species